UUGGCACCCUCUAGUGGUUGUGUUAAUUGUGGUCGGCUGUUUAGUCAUAAAGUUAAUUUGAAUCGGCCAUUUUUGUUUACACGGUGUCUGGUGGAGACAGUCGCAUCUUAUCUCCAGCCAUCCUCGUUUGUGUUGUUCUUGAACAAGCACAAACUUUUUACACGGCUUCCACUAAAAAGCGGGCAGAAGAGAGUUCAUGGCGUUAACCGGGGACGGCGCCUCCGAGCUCUCCGGGCCCUCGACGGCAUCCCGGCUGGCACUCUUUCCGCUAUACUGGCCGAUAAAGGAGCCGUCCUCGUUGAACUGGCCAUCACCUCCUUCCCCGUAGUCCACUAAACUGUCGUCACUGUCGUCUCGCUUAACCGUCCCGCUCGAUGGCGUGCGGCUCCCUUUUAAAGGUUUAUGGUCCUCAUUGUCACUGAGGGAGAAAACAUGCAGUUAGCAGAUGAUGAGCAGGAUGAGGAUCAGGAGGGCGAUGGCGCACAUCAGGCCAAUGAACCAACCCUGCGUGGCGAUGUCCACCUGUCUGCUGGCCACGGCUGAGGAGGAGAAGAAGGAGGAGAGGAUCACGCUUUCACCUCCAAUCUCUGAGUGGAAUUGUGAAUGAGGAGCAUCUACUCUGCUUCUAGUAGGUUCCUGAAUGGAAGCGUUGCUUUAGUCGUUACUCGUUGCUACGUCAUGAUUGGUUAACUUGGGAAUUAGAAGUGACAUGUGACACUCACACACACAUUUACUGUUUCUGACACGAGGGUCACGCUCCACGGAAAAGUAAAAAAAUAUUGUUGUUAAGCACAUAAAAAUGUCGACAGUACUUUGAACGCAACCCUCCGAAUCUUCCUGCUACCUUGAUACCUACGAUACGAUCCGGCUUCCAUUCCUAAAUAUGCCUCACACGCCUAUUAAACACAUUUCCGGUGUGAAUUUAUAUUAUAUUAGAUAUUUAUGUAUAUUUAUAUAUUUUUUUAUUUUUAUUUAUAUAUAUUAUUAUAUAUUAUUUAUAAUUUAUUAUAGUAUUUUUUACCCCCAUUUUUUAAAAUUUGAUAUAAAUAACUGAUAUUUGUAUAAAUAUAUUUUUUACCAAAAAUAUACAAUA